UCUCCCACCCACAUAGCUAGCGGCUCUCAUGGAGGUGGAUUUAUGAUGCUGACAGUAGAGCUCUCUCCCAUGGAAAUAGAGUGG